UAAGACAUUGGAGAGCGCCUGGAUAAGGUGA
rnacentral:piRNA from 1 species